rnacentral:rRNA from 1 species
CCCUUAGAUGUUCUGGGCUGCACACGUGCUACACUGGCAGGUUCAGCGAGCUUCAUGCCCUGAUCUGAAAGGAAUGGGAAAUCUUUUCAAAACCUGCCGUGCUUGGGAUAGAUGUUUGCAAUUAUUCAUCUUCAACGAGGAUUGCCUUGUAAGCGCACGUCAUCAGCGUGCAUUGAAUACGACCCUGUAUUCUGUACACACCGCCCGUCGCUCCUACCGAUUGAAGUUUUCGGUGAGUGGACAGGAGGAUUUUUUUGAAACUGGUUCGCCAGUGGAUUUUAGAUCCAAAUGCCAACGAAUCGAUGGCUUUAGAGGAAGGAGAAGUCGUAACA